rnacentral:rRNA from 1 species
GAUGAACGCUGGCGGCGUGCCUAAUACAUGCAAGUAGAACGCUGAAGCUUGGUGCUUGCACCGAGCGGGUGAGGUGAGAACGGGUGAGUAACGCGUAGGUAACCUGCUUGGUAGCGGGGGAUAACCAGGGGAAACGAUAGCUAAUACCGCAUAACAGUAGAUAGUGCAGGAGAGCUGGUUGAAAGGUGCAAAUGCAUCACGACCAGACGGACCUGCGUUGUAUUAGGUUGGUGGUGAGGUAACGGCUCACCUAGGCGGCGAUGCAUAGCCGACCUGAGAGGGUGGUUGGCCGCCCUGGGACUGUGACCGGGCCCAGUGUCCUUCGGGUAGCAGCCAGAGGGCAUCGUCGGCCAUGGGUGGAACCCUUACCGAGCAACGCCGCGGGCGGGUAGAAGGAUUUCGGGUCGUAAAUGUCUGUUGUCGGGGAAGAACGAGUUUGAGAGUGUAAAGUUCACACUGUGACGGUAUCUUACCAGAAAGCACCGGCUAACUACGUG